rnacentral:rRNA from 1 species
CCAGCAGUUGCGGUUAAACGAAUGAUAUAAAUAAAUUUUAUUAGUAAAAGUUAUAUAAAUAUAAUUUUAUAAAAAUAUUUUUAAUUUAUUAGGUGAAAUUUUAAAUUUAAUUAAUAUUUAUUUAUGUUAAUUGAAGCUUGAAAAUUUUAUUAAUAAACUAGGAUUAGAUACCCUAUUAUUUAAAAUGUAAUUAUUAUACUAAAGUAUUAUUAGUUAUAUUCUUUAAAUUUAAAAAAUUUGGCGGUAUUUUAGUCUAUUCAGAGGAACCUGUUCUAUAAUCGAUAUUCCACGAUGGACCUCACUUAAUUUAUUUUGUUUAUAUAUCGUCGUUAUUAGAAUAUUUUAUAAGAAUAAUAAUUUUCUAAAAUUUUUAUAAAAAUUUAUAUCAGAUCAAGGUGUAGCUUAUAUUUAAGAAGAAAUGGGUUACAAUAAAUUUAUUUAUAUGAAUAUAAUAAUGAAAAAAUUAUUGAAAUUGGAUUUGAUAGUAAAAUUAUAUAGAUUAAUAAUUUGAUUUAUAGCUCUAAAAUAUGU